rnacentral:lncRNA from 1 species
AUGAUACAAACCAAAAGAAACAUAUAUAUAGACACUUUUGGCUUGUUUGCUACAAGGAAAAAUAGCAAGACAUCAUGUUCCUCCUAAAUAAACGUAUUUCCUCGUACUCCUUCAUAGUCUCGUUUUGGAUCUCUUAGUUUUAUAAUAAUAUUUAACCAUUAAAAAACGCACUAUUCAUAGAGGUAUAUAUGAAAUUGCCCCUAUAUUUUAAACCGGGACUGUUCUAUUUUCACUAGUCCUAACGGUCUCCAUAUCGAUUCCCUCCUCGUCCUCAUCUUCGUUUUCCCUCGACAUUUCCUCCAAAGACUUGCCAUUCGAUUCGGGCACCAAGAACGUAAACAAGAUCCCGAGAAAAUUCACCACCCCGAGUACGAUAAGCGAGUUCUUGACCCCGAUCCCCGGGGGAUACCCUUUAUCUGUCUUUGUUUUGUCUUGGUUUUGAGCCGCAUAUAAGAACCCGAAAGCACCAAUUAUAGCACCCGCCUUACCCGAAGCAGCCGAGAUCCCAUGGCACGUUGACCGAAGCCUUGCGGGGAAUAUCUCGGCAGGGACUACAAAUGUAGUCGCGUUAGGUCCGAAAUUUGCAAAGAAGAAGGUGAAAGCGUACAUUACAACAAACCCGAUUCGGUUCUCCCUUUGUGUCCAAUGAUGGUAUGGAAUCGCAAGGGCGAACAUGAAAACCGUCAUAAAGAAAAAGCCCAUUAGUUGGAUCGCGAAUCUCCCGAUUCUAUCGAUGAAGAAUACCGUGAACCAGUAUCCUGGGACGGUACUACAAAGCGCAAUGAGCGUUUGAGCUCGCGAGAUCUUGAAAACCUCUUGGAUCGCGUUCAUUGUUUUUGCUGGCGGGAUCCACCCGAUCGCGCUAAAGAUGUCCUUUUGGAAUAAGUUUUGGCUGUAAAACGCGAUAUCGAGCAAGAACCACGUGCUAGUUGUCCCGAGCAAGUGUAGCCCGUGGCGUUUCACGAAUUGCUUUGAAAAAAGCCCAAACUGGUUAUGUUGUUUUUCGACCACCUUUUCUUGUUCGGCUUCGAGCUCGACUUGUAACACUUUCGACAUAUCGGCAGCCGCUUGUUUCGUGUUUUUGGCCACUAAAGCCGUGUACCGAGCCGUUUCUGGCAUCUUCAUCCGCCAAUAGUAAGUCAUUAGAGCCGGAAUCGACCCGAACAUUAAAAUAAUGCGCCAGACAUAGUCGGCUUGUGGGACCGUGGACCCUAACGGAUUAUCCUCGUAAGCCGGAGCCGGGUAUUUCGACUUGAAUGCGGCCGAAACUAUACAAGCCACCAUCCCACCAGUCAAAAUUCCAAACCCUUGCAUAGCAAACACCGCCGCUAUAAACGCGCCUCGGGUUUUCUUAUUCGCGUAUUCCGACAUGAUCGUGGCCGAAAGAGGGUAAUCACCACCUAUCCCAAACCCAAGCCAAAACCGGAAGAAGCAAAGAGUGGCCAUAACCGCGGUGGGCUCGUUGCUAAACGAAAGCCCAGAGGCGAUUGAACAAAUGACCAUAAGCAUAAGGGUCAUCCCAUAAACUUUUUUUCGGCCCAUUUUGUCUCCGAGCCAGCCGAAAAAAAGUUGGCCCGCGAGGGUGCCACAAAAGGCGACCCCGUUGACUGCGGCUGACACGUUUGGCGGCAGUGUCCCCGGUUUCCCAUCACCUGUUUCGUGGUAGUAAAUGCGGCCGAGCAACUUCGUGACUAGCGAGAUGCAGAAAAGAUCGUACGCGUCGGUG